UUUCCCCCUUUCUCCUUAGUUCAUGAGAGAGAUCACUUGAGCAAAAAUUCAUGGUUGUUUUCUGAGAUUUUUGGAAGUUGGGAAUGGAGGCCCUAACCUCUUUUUGUCCUCUGGACGUAGAGAUCAGAGCAGAGUUGGUUUGUGUUCCUGUUCUUUGCUCUCACGAGCUACUGUUCAUCAGUUUUCCCCAUCUUGAUUCGUGUUUGUUUUGAGUUUUCUUUUGGGAUGUGUUUGGUCAGAUUGAUGCUUUGUCAAGUGAUGAACAAGAUCGCUAAGUGAUUUGAGCUAAUUCCACUUGUGCAUCAAGAACCAAGCAGAUUUGCGUUUUGAGAGAAAAACUCGUUCUUGUCUCAAAUCUGAAUAUUUCCUAGAGUUUGGAUUAAUCCUAGGCGAUGAUUUCUUGAGGAUAGAUUCGUAAUAAGUCGAGUUUCUCUUGUGCAAUUUUUGGGAAUUUUUCAUGGAGAUUUGGGGAGGUUUUCGUUGAAUUUCUUGGAGCCACCUUUUUCUGUUUUCUCUUUACCAUCUUCGUCGGGUUCUUACUGUGCUUUCGCGAGGACACCCGUGAGCCACUAGUGCUAGUUUCCUGGUCGUGUGCAUCUCCUGGCCAAGUUCCUUUUCUGCUGCAGUGUACUUGUUUUUCCUCUGGUUCUUUUUCUUCCUGUUCGUGUGCAGGGUCAGACAACAGGUCCUGCGUCGUGCUGCGCUCGUCCUUGGCCAGGAGCCCUGACUACUCACGUCAAGCAGGGAGUUCUAAGCAGAUAGCUGUCAAAUCAUUCAUCUAGCAAAUCUGCUUGAUCUCUGUUACUAGUAAACUGCAAGCUGCUAUUUUCUAAAGUAACAUUCAUUGCUUCUGAAGCUGCUAUUUUCUCAUCCAGUUUCUUCCAUGCUGCAAGUUCAGCAGCAAGUGUUUGCUUUGAAUGUUCAGUUUUGCAGAAGGUGGUCAAGCUGCAAGUGCAGCAGUAAAUGCUUGGUUUGAUCUCUGAUCGGUUCCUGCUUGGACGUGUAAUUUUUUAGAGCAACAGUGAAGUUCUGCUUCUUAGCUUCAUUAGCUUUUCCUUGGAGCAUUAAAUCAUUCCUUUCUGCUGAGAGUGUAGUCACGGUUGUGAAUUUUAUUUGUUCUCUGUGAAUGGUGUUAGCAGACUCAGUCUAGUGUAGUUCCUGGCUAAGCAAGUGCAGCUGCUGAUCUUUUUGUCUCUAUUUUCUAAGCUUCACAGUUAUGAGCACCUAGCUGUGCAGUCGUGCUGCUCCCAGAGCACUAGGCCUUUGUCCUUUUUUCUUUGUUAUCUGAUGAUCAAUUUUUGGGGAUUUUCUGUCAAAUUUUCCCAGCCACGAUUUCUUGUUUCGCUCGUAAUUUGGUCGUUUGAGCUCUGAUUCGUGUUCCGUUUGUUUCGUUAGCUUCCUACCGUUCCGAAGAAUUUUUCUAGAUACUCUCGUCACUGUUUCGCUAGAGUAUUUUAGUUUUGGAUUGUGUUUGCGCUUGGCGGUGAUUUUGGGACAGUGGCUAAACAUUUCGAAAGAAAUUUGAGGCUCCCAUUCACCCCCCCCUCUGGUCGCCUUUUUCGGUCCUUCACCAUGAAUUCCAAUUUAUGGAGUGGUUUUAUAUAUAUUUUGCAUAUUUCUUUCAUUUUAAACUUACCAACACCACAAAAUUGUGAGAGAACUGUAUCUACUACUAUUAAGAGUGAAAAGGUGCAUAUUUCUUUCAUUUUAAACUUACCAACACCACAAAAAUGUGAGAGAACUCUAUCUACUACUAUUAAGAGUGAAAAGGUCUACAAUCUGUACAUGAUUGAAUUUUUAAGUUUCCACACAUUCUCAGUAGCUGAUGGUGCACACGGGUGGGUUUGGAUCAAUGGAGAGGGCCUUUUCAGUUUCUUGAACAUCAACUUUCUGACCAGUGACAUCAGUGUGAUGCUUUGCACGGAGGGGAGGAAGACUGGAAGAGCAUGUUGAAGCUGGCUGAAAGGAUGGUGAUGAGAUUCCUUGGGUAGCUACAGUCUUUGUACUUUCAUGUUGAACAUGUUUGCUCUCAAAUUUGCGAGCACAGACAGGUGCUCUAUUUAAAAGGAAGAUUAAUUUAAAUCAAUUGUGUUGGUUUUUA